AAAGUCGUAACAAGGUUUCCGUAGGUGAACCUGCGGAAGGAUCAUUACCGAGUGAGGGUCCUCGUGGCCCGACCUCCCACCCCAUGUUUAACAACCGUCCGUUGCUUCGGCGGGCCCGUUCGCCCUGCGAACCGCCGGGGGUACUCCGCCGCGAGGCGGAGCCCUUGGCCCGCGCCCGUCGGUGGCCUUUUAUCAAAAUUCUGAACCAAACGUGUCAUUUUCUAAGUACCUACACAAAUAGCACAAAACUUUCAACAACGGAUCUCUUGGUUCUG
rnacentral:misc_RNA from 1 species